rnacentral:rRNA from 1 species
GACGAACCGUGCGAACGUUAUUCGGAAUCAUUGGGCUUAAAGGGCGCGUAGGCGGAUCGGCGCGUCGGAGUUGAAAGCCCCCGGCUCAACCGGGGAAUCGGCUCCGAUACGGCGGAUCUCGAGGCGAGGAGGGGGACCUGGAACUUCCGGUGGAGCGGUGAAAUGCGUUGAGAUCGGAAGGAACGCCAACGGCGAAAGCAAGGUCCUGGACU